UGGGGAAUCUUGCACAAUGGGGGCAACCCUGAUGCAGCGACGCCGCGUGAGCGAUGAAGCCCUUCGGGGCGUAAAGCUCUUUCGACCGGAACGAUAAUGACGGUACCGGGAGAAGAAGCUGCGGCUAACUACGUGCCAGCAGCCGCGGUAAUACGUAGGCAGCAAGCGUUGUUCGGAGUUACUGGGCGUAAAGAGUGCGUAGGCGGUUUUCUAAGUUCGGUGUGAAAUCUCCCGGCUUAACGGGGAGGGUGCGCCGAAGACUGGGAAGCUGGAGUGUGGGAAAGGCAGGCGGAAUUCCUGGUGUAGCGGUGAAAUGCGUAUAUAUCAGGAGGAACACCUGCGGUGUAGACGGCUUGCUAGACCAUAACUGACGCUGAGGCACGAAAGCGUGGGUAGCAAACA
rnacentral:rRNA from 1 species